rnacentral:siRNA from 1 species
UAGCUCUAUAUUUGUCUGCCA